AGAGAAGGAGGGAUGAUUUGGGAGGAGCCGAAAUAAUCACAGCUACAGCCAGGGGGCUCCCAGCAGCUGGAAUUUAACUGGUGGCGCAAAGGAGUCUGGAGCGAGCCUCCAGGGGAGGGUGGGGCUAAGAGAGCGGGAUCCCGGAGCCUGGAGAGGGCGGGGCCAGAGACCUGGGGAGAGCGGGAGACCCGGGCGGAGUUCAUUGAGGGCGGUAGCCUGAGGGAAGGGGCGGGGCCUUAGCGGAAAGGCCUCCACCAGGUGAUGGAAACGGGCGUGGUUAACCAGAGGGGCGGGGGCAAAUCUGGAGACACCGUAGCGGGGAUGUCUUAAUAUAUACAAAUUCCAGCUGAGGGCGCUAGGGUGACGCGGCUGACAAACUGGCCCAGGCUGGGCGCGAGCCCAGUUGAAGACGGGAAGGGGAAUGUCCUGGCAGGGGAGUGAUCCGAGCAGUCCCAUCCUUCUCAGUGUAGGCCGCGAACCUCCCUUCGAGGAAGGGUACCUCGUGAUGUUUCAGGGAAGGGUCGAGAAAAGAGGGUCAAAAAGAGUCUGGAGUAGUUAAUAUAGUGGUGGUCUGUUUUCUGAAAAUGGGGAGAACGUCGAGUUAAGAAAAGAAUGAAGGAAAGGAACGUAGGGAGAAUAAUGUGUGCUCCCCCUCCCCCACACUCCCCUUGGCAACCACAGUAGUAGAGGUUUAGUGGCGACUGAGAUUGACCGAGCAAGCGGGCGGGGACCGGAACCUUCCUGUGCUGUUAUGUUAAUCAUGCCUUUACAAAAAACUACAUUGUCCACCAAAUGAGUAGAAUUAGCCAGAAUCAGAGCAAGAAGCCCACUGAGCCACAGGAGGUCUGCCUGGACCACAAGGUGGUAUCGUAUGCUCCAGAUGUCAUUUUUUUCAAGUUAUCUUAUUAUUUCAGAAAUCUGAUUUCUUUAGUGCAGGUAUGACUUCCAUUGAUUUGCUGUCAACCCUCUGGAAUUUGGUUGACAGUCUUCAAGAAUUUGUGUGGCUGAAAAGUUAAUCACUCUACAGUCAACCUAGCCUCUAUGAACUUAGCAUAGUUGGUCCUCAGCCAAGUCAUCUAGCCUAUAAUCGAGCCUUUCUUUGAGGUCUUGAACUCUGCUUGGAAAGCAGCAAGAGGCAUUAAGGGUAAGACCUGGAGGAAGUUUAAAGAUACCACGCUAAUAAACAUAUUUUGAAUGAAUGAAGUGCUUCCUUA
rnacentral:lncRNA from 1 species